GACGAACGCUGGCGGCGUGCUUAACACAUGCAAGUCGAACGGAAAGGCCCUGCUUUUGUGGGGUGCUCGAGUGGCGAACGGGUGAGUAACACGUGAGUAACCUGCCCUUGACUUUGGGAUAACUUCAGGAAACUGGGGCUAAUACCGGAUAGGAGCUCCUGCUGCAUGGUGGGGGUUGGAAAGUUUCGGCGGUUGGGGAUGGACUCGCGGCUUAUCAGCUUGUUGGUGGGGUAGUGGCUUACCAAGGCUUUGACGGGUAGCCGGCCUGAGAGGGUGACCGGCCACAUUGGGACUGAGAUACGGCCCAGACUGCUACGGGAGGCAGCAGUGGGGAAUAUUGCACAAUGGGCGGAAGCCUGAUGCAGCAACGCCGCGUGCGGGAUGACGGCCUUCGGGUUGUAAACCGCUGUCGCCUGUGACGAAGCGUGAGUGACGGUAAUGGGUAAAGAAGCACCGGCUAACUACGUG
rnacentral:rRNA from 1 species